UACGUAGGGUGCAAGCGUUGUCCGGAAUUAUUGGGCGUAAAGAGCUCGUAGGCGGUUCGUCGCGUCGGCUGUGAAAACCUGAGGCUCAACCUCAGGCCUGCAGUCGAUACGGGCGGACUUGAGUACUGCAGGGGAGACUGGAAUUCCUGGUGUAGCGGUGAAAUGCGCAGAUAUCAGGAGGAACACCGGUGGCGAAGGCGGGUCUCUGGGCAGUAACUGACGCUGAGGCGCGAAAGCUAGGGGAGCGAACAGG
rnacentral:rRNA from 1 species